AGCGGCGGACGGGUGAGCAACGCGUGGGUAACCUGCCUCAUACAGGGGGAUAACAGUUGGAAACGGCUGCUAAUACCGCAUAAGCGCACAGUACCGCAUGGUACGGUGUGAAAAACUCCGGUGGUAUGAGAUGGACCCGCGUCUGAUUAGGUAGUUGGUGGGGUAACGGCCCACCAAGGCGACGAUCCAUAGCCGACCUGAGAGGGUGACCGGCCACAUUGGGACUGAGACACGGCCCAA
rnacentral:rRNA from 1 species